rnacentral:rRNA from 1 species
UUGACGGAGAGUUUGAUCCUGGCUCAGGACGAACGCUGGCGGCGGGCUUAAUACAUGCAAGUCGAACGCAGUCGACCUUCGGGUCACAUGACUGAGUGGCGAACGGGUGAGUAACACGUGAGAAACCUGCCUCGAAGACUGGAAUAACCCGGGGAAACCCGGGCUAAUACCGGAUAUCCCCAGUUGGCCGCAUGGCCGACUGAGGAAAUGCUCCGGCGCUUCGAGAGGGUCUCACGGCCUAUCAGCUAGUUGGUGAGGUAACGGCUCACCAAGGCAUCGACGGGUAGCUGGUCUGAGAGGACGAUCAGCCACACUGGGACUGAGACACGGCCCAGACUCCUACGGGAGGCAGCAGUA